AGCGAACGCUGGCGGCAGGCCUAACACAUGCAAGUCGAACGGAUCCUUCGGGAUUAGUGGCGGACGGGUGAGUAACACGUGGGAACGUGCCCUUUGGUUCGGAACAACUCAGGGAAACUUGAGCUAAUACCGGAUGUGCCCUUCGGGGGAAAGAUUUAUCGCCAUUGGAGCGGCCCGCGUCUGAUUAGCUAGUUGGUGAGGUAACGGCCCACCAAGGCGACGAUCAGUAGCUGGUCUGAGAGGAUGAUCAGCCACACUGGGACUGAGACACGGCCCAGACUCCUACGGGAGGCAGCAGUGGGGAAUCUUGCGCAAUGGGCGAAAGCCUGACGCAGCCAUGCCGCGUGAAUGAUGAAGGUCUUAGGAUUGUAAAAUUCUUUCAGCGGGGACGAUAAUGACGGUACCCGCAGAAGAGGCUCCGGCUAACUUCGUG
rnacentral:rRNA from 1 species